GGCGGCGGUGGCGGCGGCGGCGGCGGGCGCCGGAAUGCGACCGGACGGGGGCGGAGACGGCGGCAGGGAGGGGCGGGGAGCGCCGUCAAGUGUCGGCGCGAUUCGGUCCUGGAGCCGGGUCUCGCCAGCUCGCCCGGUGUCGCCCCGGCCGGUGGCAGUGGGGGACUGUGGAGCGGAGCCGGGCUGUGCAGCGGGCUGGGAGCUCGAGGCUUCCCAGGCGGUCGUCGGUCUGGGAGGGACGCUGGGUAGGGCCGAUGAGCGGGGCGGGCGCGACGCUAUGAGCCCGGCCGGAGUCGCCGCCCAGGGACCUGCCACCCGGAUCCCACCUUCCAGGAGGACGGACGUCACCCAGACGCUCGCAACUCCGGUCUCUUGACAGCGCAGCCUUCCACAGGCUCGAAUUUUUAAGACUUGACAUAAAGUCUCCGGAAUUCCAGAUUAUUAAAGUGACCCCCUCAUUUCAACCCGGCAAAACUUCUCACCCCAGUGUCAUAAGAUUCGAUAGCGAUCUCCCAGAAACUUGGACUGGAAUGCUCCUACACUGAGGGGAUGGGGGGAAGAAGAAAUGCUAAAGAUUAUUUCAGAGUUACAGAAAUCCUGUUGAAAUUCCAAUGCAUCGUUUACUCUUAGCGCUGGGGCUUCACAGUUUUUUUUUAAGUUGGAAAUAUUUACAAAAUUUCCCAUAGGGUGAAAUCCAGAGUUAAUCCAAAACCAGAAUCUUUUAAAAUUAAGUACAUUCAAAUGUGCAGAUUUCUUAAACCUCAUUUAGUUGAGCUUUGAUAGGUGAAACGCACGUUUUGAACAACUCUGGUAACAAAGAAAAACAUUAAAUUGAUUAUAGGUAUGUUAUAUUUAAAGACCAGUUGUGAAAUUAGCUAUAUUGUGCUCAAAGUAUGUUACUGACAUUUCUCCGUCGUUAAAAGGAACUGCUCCAUUCUAGUUUUUUAUAAUAGUCUGUAUUAUGUAUAUAGCCUGAUAGUGCUGAAUUUCUGAAUUGACCUUCAUCUUAUUUACUCAAUAAUAUUCAUUUGACAAAUACUUAUUAAGUGCAUAUAUGUGUCAGGAACUGUACUAGAUGCUGAGGAUAUAGCAGUAAGCGCAACAGACCAAGCUAACAGCUUAGUAAAGGGUGAGGUAAAACAAAACAAAAAAGUAUUCAAAAAAAUAAACUAAUUUUUAUCUUAAUUUAAAAAAUUACAAAUUUUUAAAAAUCACAAAUUGGUAUCCAUGUAUAAUUCAUUUCCGUGCAUUUUCUUGUGUGAAGAAAGCUCAGUAAAAGUAUUUCUUAGGUUUCUGUAAUUCUAGUUCUCUACUCGAUUUUCUUCUGCAAUUUUCUGAGCCAGAACCCUUCUUAGAAGGCAUAUUAGAGACUUUAAA
rnacentral:lncRNA from 1 species